GACUGAAAGGUGUUUCUGUGUGUUUGGUUUCAGCCUAAAAGACCAAAGAAACCUGAAUUCCUUCUUUGCCGUGAUGUUUGGCCUGAGCCACUCUGCCAUCAGCCGCCUUUCUAGGACUUGGGAGAAACUUCCGCACAAAACGAGAAAGCUAUACGGCACUAUGGAACGGAUGUUGGUAAGUGGAGAGACGUUCCUUUUUGUCUUUGGAAGUGUUGUUCUCUCAUUUUAAAUAAUACCUCCACUCUGUUUCCCAUUUUACCGAUAGGGAACUGGUGCUGAAAGUGUGACUUGCACCAGUUUGGUAUUAGGAGUUGCAGCUAGACUUAAGUGUGGCAGUUUUAAUGUUAGUCAGAAUAUUUACAUUUUGACUCUCAGGUGUUCAACAGUUUUAUCAGGAUCCUUCUACAGAGAGAUAAUAAUGCCUAGCCUAAUGGAACAUAAUCUACCUAGACCACACUCUGAAAUAUUCCUCACCUCCCUCUUAUCCUCUUUAUAGACUUUCUCACAAAAUAAGAGCUCAAUUAUUUUGUGUUGGUCAAAUUUAGAUCUUUCCCUGAUGAAAUCAAUGAGAACUUAAUUUCUUGGGCCCUUAAUUCCAAAAUCUGCUGAGGAAAUCUGUCCUUUAGUAAAUGAAUGGAAAUCCAUUUCUGGACCUCUGAAGACAUGAGGAGAUGAGUGAUAUGGAAGAGAAUCCCUUAUGAGAGGAAGAGAUCAGCAAACCUGACUGGCGAUUGGGUGCCACUUUGCAAUCUUGCAAUAGGGCCUCAACAUCAUACCCAUCGGUUUACCCACUGUUAAAUAUUGCUCCAAUAUCUCAUGAUAUUGCCAUUAUGGGACUUAACAAAUUCCAAGUAGCAUUGAAUCGCCGUUUAAAUUAUGCAAGAUUUUGGCACUGCAGGAUGAGGUUUCCUGUGAGAUAGUGAUCUAAUGAGGCUUAGCUAUUUUUCCCCCAUAUAUAUAAUUCUGAAUAUAUAAUUAAGGACUUUGCAUAAGCAUGGAUGCUAGCAGAAGGCAACCAAAGGCUUUAUUCCCCCUUUUUGCAGCACUUGGAGCCAUCUCUUAUCUGAUACUAUAGUUAUCUGUAGUAUUGCAUCAUCUGAAGUCUGGAGAUGCAUGAAAAUGUCAUAAAGUAAGCCCUAAAAUAGAUGAAUCAGUUAGAAACAAAACUGAGCAAA